CCUACGGGCGGCAGCAGUGAGGAAUAUUGGUCAAUGGACGAGAGUCGGAACCAGCCAAGUAGCGUGAAGGAUGACUGCCCUAUGGGUUGUAAACUUCGUUUAUAUGGGAAUAAAAUGAUCCACGUGUGGGAUUUUGUAUGUACCAUAUGAAUAAGGAUCGGCUAACUCCGUGCCAGCAGCCGCGGUAAUACGGAGGAUCCGAGCGUUAUCCGGAUUUAUGGGGGUUAAAGGGAGCGUAGGGGGAUUGUUAAGUCAGUGGUGAAAGUUUGCGGCUCAACCGUAAAAUUGCAGUUGAAACUGGCAGUCUUGAUUCCAGUAGCGGUGGUCGGUAUUCGUGGUGUAGCGGU
rnacentral:rRNA from 1 species